rnacentral:rRNA from 1 species
UGAACGCUGGCGGCGUGCUUACCACAUGCACGUCGAACGGUGAAGGCGGAGCUUGCUCUGCUGGAUCAGUGGCGAACGGGUGAGUAACACGUGAGCAAUCUGCCCCUGACUCUGGGAUAAGCGCUGGAAACGGCGUCUAAUACUGGAUACGAGCUGCGAAGGCAUCUUCAGCAGCUGGAAAGAACUUCGGUCAGGGAUGAGCUCGCGGCCUAUCAGCUUGUUGGUGAGGUAACGGCUCACCAAGGCGUCGACGGGUAGCCGGCCUGAGAGGGUGACCGGCCACACUGGGACUGAGACACGGCCCAGACUCCUACGGGAGGCAGCAGUGGGGAAUAUUGCACAAUGGGCGAAAGCCUGAUGCAGCAACGCCGCGUGAGGGACGACGGCCUUCGGGUUGUAAACCUCUUUUAGCAGGGAAGAAGCGAAAGUGACGGUACCUGCAGAAAAAGCGCCGGCUAACUACGUG